rnacentral:rRNA from 1 species
AUGGCGAGUUUCUCAGUAAGUCUGCUUAACCGCCUUUCUGGCGGGAUAGAUUAUAACUGGAUUUCACGACCACCUCGAGGUCGUUCUGGGGGCAUUUUACUCGGCGUUAACACAGAGACUAUGGAUGUUCUGGCUAGUUCGGAAGGAGAGUUUCAUAUUAAACUCCAUAACCAAAACAAAGCUGACAACUUCACAUGGACCCUCGUCGCCGUGUAUGUGGCAGCCCAGGAUGAACUCAAGGCCGUUUUUCUCCGUGAGCUAGUUAAUCUAGCGAAAGAUAAUCCCUACCCCAUUCUUAUUGGUGUGGAUUUUAAUUUGCUACGAUUUCCAAAUGAGAAAAGCCGAGGUAGGUUUGAUAAUCACUGGCCUUUCCUUUUCAACGCUGUCAUAAACAGUCUUGAUUUGCGAGAGGUUUCCAUGAUUGGAAGACAAUUCACUUGGGCGAACAAUCUUCCGGAGCCGACAUAUGAGAAACUAGAUCGCGUUUUAAUGGAUACCGACUGGGAAUCCAAAUUCCCUAUGGUUUCUGUUCGCGCUCUUCCUCGUAUAGAGGCUAUCUCAGACCAUGCACCCAUCCUCUUAACCACUGGAUCGCCACGACCACAACACUGAUGCAAGUUCAAGUUCGAACUGGGUUGGUUGCAUCGAGAUGGAUUCUAUGAAAUGGUCAAGGAGGUGUGGGAUAAACCGGUUGCCGGGCCUACCCCAAUACACAAAUGGAACAACAAAAUGUGUGCAUUACGUAAGUUCCUUCGUGGUUGGGCUAGGCACACUGCGGGUAUUCUCAAAAAGGAGAAGCUUCGUCUUUCAUCCAUUAUUGAUGAUUUAGAAGCUUUGGCAGAGAUUAGAGCUUUCUCUGACCUCGAAUUAGAGAUCAAGAGUCAAUUGAAUGCCCAGUUAGCCUAG